UACGUAGGCAGCGAGCGUUGUUCGGAGUUACUGGGCGUAAAGAGUGCGUAGGCGGUGCACUAAGUCAGGUGUGAAAGCCCCCGGCUCAACCGGGGAAUGGCAUCUGAUACUGGUGUGCUCGAGGACGGUUGGGGUGAGUGGAACUCCUGGUGGAGCGGUGAAAUGCGUAGAUAUCAGGAGGAACGCCGGUGGCGAAAGCGGCUCACUGGGCCGUCUCUGACGCUGAGGUGCGAAAGCUAGGGUAGCGAACGGG
rnacentral:rRNA from 1 species